UACGUAGGGUGCGAGCGUUAAUCGGAAUUACUGGGCGUAAAGGGCGCGUAGGCGGCGAUCCAAGUUAGGCGUGAAAGCCCCGGGCUUAACCUGGGAAUUGCGCUUAAGACUGGACUGCUUGAGUGCGGGAGAGGUGAGUGGAAUUCCCCAGUGUAGAGGUGAAAUUCGUAGAUAUUGGGAAGAACACCAGUGGCGAAGGCGGCUCACUGGCCCGCAACUGACGCUGAGGCGCG
rnacentral:rRNA from 1 species